GUUUUUCUGGUCAUAUUUUUUGUAAUCUAGAAUAAAAAGUAUUAAAAAAGUGUUCAAUAAGUUAUAUAUAACAUAGUAGCAAGCUAGAUAAUAUCAAUGGCAAGUAUUUCAGCAUUUAUUGGGUAGAACACAAAUCUAGGGUGCUCGCAUAAUGCAGCUUAACUGCAUAAAAAACCGAAGAGCAUAAAACAGUCUCAUGAACAGCCUUUUAAUUCAUUAAAAAGAAUAAGAACAAUUAUUACAUUACAGACUAUGAAAAAUGUUUUAUAAAAUAAUUCCAAUUUGGUUUUGUAUACCUCUUCCACUUUUAAUUUUCACCAAUUAAAUAGUAUGGUAUCAUUAUGUCUAAAAACAUUGCCCAAUACUAAUUAAUGCUUUUGUACAGGUUAUUAAGAAGAAAUUGUUUAAAAGGCAAAAGAAUAUACCACCCCGUCUUUCAGCACCAUAAAAAGCACUAAAACAUUAUGUAUAACACACAUACUGUGAUCAGCAUAUCUGAGGAGAAAAUUCCAAGGACAAAAUGUGUAUUUCAUAGUUCUAUCCUUUCCAUAUAUUGACAACUUAUAAAAGUUCACUUUGAGGUUAACACUCAAAACUAUAUCUUUAGAAUGGCCUGAAUGAAAUCUUUAUAAUGGUAGCAUACCAAAUAAUAUCAAUCAAUGGUUUAAUAAAAACAGUUUUAUUGAUAUUCAUACAAUGUGAAUCAAUAAUCAAUAAAACUUUGGAUGUUAAUUUUGAGCUAUUUUAAAAAUGAUGUGUGAAACUAGAAAUGUGGGUGCAACCAGCCAGGUCAUGCCUCUUGGUGAAUGUUUUUUUUUAAUUUGUUUUGUUGGCUUUUUUUUGGGGGGGCAACUUAUAUUAAUUUCAAUGUUUUAAUUGAUCCUGUUAUUUUAUGCAAAAUAAAUAAAUUAUGAACCAAACUUAAAAAAAUAUAAAAUUGGAAAAUUUUUACUCUGCUGCUACUUCAACAAUUCUAAAUGAAAUCAAGUUUUUCUUAUUUCAUUGUGGAAUUUAUCUUUCAGACAAGAAUUAAUACUGAAAAACAUUUAAAAUGUGACAAUUUCAAAAACUUAAAAUUCCAUAAGGUGAAUUGAUAAUCAUAUCAUUCAUGCCUAACAUGAGACAAUAGCUAGUGCAAGGUUACUGUAGACAAAUGAAUACAUGUAUCCAUAUUAUGUGAUGAGUGAUUCUUCCAUUAAUUAGAACAGCAAACAUGUGUAAAUAGUUAAAACAGGCAAACACAAGCAAUCAUUAUUGUACAAAAUAAUAAAAUUAACAAAAACAAUUUUACAUUCAUACACAUUAAAACAAACAAAAAGCCCUCUAACAAAAAUAUCAAACUUCCUGUUUUCUCAAAAUUAUAAAAUAAUCUUUAAAAGCCCCGAAAACCACAAGUCAAAUAUAGGUCACAGUGCAUUGUUCUAUAGAAGAUUACUGGAGUGGUGAAUUGCAAUUUAAUACAUAAAAUACCAAAGUCCUCGAGCAUGAAAUGUAGAGUAAAGUUACAUAAAUGCUGCUGAGAAGCAAUGGACCAUUUUGCACAGGAACAGGUUCUGAAUGAAGGGGUUUGAACAAAAUGGUAAGAUAUUUCUGUUCUGUUAAAACAUAUUUCUGAAAAAAGGGAUCUACUUGCAAAACUUAACUGAACUGAGAUGUACACCUAACAGGGUGCCUCUAUAUAAAAUAGAGAAUCCCAGUUUGACAUACAAACUAUAUCCUACUUCAUAAAUCUUAGGUUUACAAUUAACAUCUGCAUAACAUAAUAAACACUGCUAUUCAUUACAACAUAACAACAUUAAAAUCAAUGUCAAACAUUUCAAAUUCAAUACAAGCCCAUCAGAAAAAAAUUAUGAAUCUAAUCUGUUUAUCUAGUUUAAUCACAUCAAUAAUCUUUAAUAUAAACUCUUUUAGUUAUUGUAAACAUUAUCAAAUGUCUGCUAUGACAGUAGUCCAUUAUUAAUCAUAGUGGUAUCAUAGAACAACACAGCAUGUUCUAUAGCAGUGGUCUUAAGCUCUUGAAUAUCUUUGUUUCACUUAUUUCCCUCCACCACGGAAAGCUUACUGUCACCUUUAUCAAUUCGUUGAUAUAAAUAUAGUACCCAAAUCAUGUGUUGAUCCAGGUAGAUGAUUGGGUACACCUUUCAUGCAUGUUCUGAGUACAAGCAUCCUUCCCCUUUUCAGGGAAAAUAUUUAAAUGGGUCUUCAGCUCCUCAACUCCUUAUAAAUAUACUGUAAACUUUAAUAUAUUAACGGCAUAAUAAUAAGCAAAUAGAUCAUCAAAAAAUUUCACAAAAGCAUUGCAAAAAAAAACAUUACAAGUUUGUGAAACUGAUAGAACAUACAAUAUAUUUCUGUUAUACCUACCAAACUUGGGUUAUUUUAUUUUAAUUAGUUCUUUAAAAAAGAGUUUUUGUUGUUCUUUUGCUCAUAGAACGACACUUUUGUAAUUUUUUUUAAGAAUUUAAAUAAAAGGCAAAUGAAUAAAAAAAAUCCAAACAGGCUUCUCUUUUGAUACUGUGCAAGAAUUGUAAAGACUAAUCAUUGCCACUUAAUUCAACACAAUUAUACAUGGAACAUAAAAAAAACAAAAUCCAUUCAUCCAUAUUAUUUAGUGAAAUGCACAAUCAAUACUCACUUUAUUUAAUCAGCACCAACGAAAACAUACAUUUUCGUAGAAAAAAACAUGGAAAUAAUUCACUAUUACUUCUCUUAUAUUUUGUCAUUCCCCAUGAAAACAUGACAUAAUUAUAUUUUUCUCAAAAAGAUAUUUAUACAUUAAAUCAUCCCUCUUAAAAGUGAGAUAAUUAUUUAAACUUUAUCAAUUUGAUAUUAAUGUUCUCAUUAAAUUGCAUUUAUUGUACAUCUAAUUAAUUCAGAAUUCAUUAUGAGUGACAUGAUAAUACAUUGAUCUCCCAAUACAAAAAGGGUUUCAGUUUUAUCAAUAAUCAUAUGAUUUCUUAUUGCAAUACAUCAAACCUGCUAUAUAAAAUAUUUAAAUAAAGAUAUAAAACGACUAGGACAUUCUAUGAAUUAUUUCUAAAAUGAGUGAUACUCUCAUUAAAACUUGAAAAUUACCAGAAAUAUUUAUGUUUUAUACUAAGAUGUUGAUCUGAGUCAAGUAUAUGUGUUAAGGCAAGACUGAUGCUAAAAAAUGUAAUGAUCCAAAAAUGUGUGUAAAAUUAUCAUCCAUAUUCAUUUAUCAAUAAUUUGAAAUUAUUUUAAAUUUCUUGGACAAAAAAAUGCUUCACUUUAUACCUCCUCACUUGAUCCCAACAUUUCUUUAUUAAGUUCAGUAACCUAUAUGUUUUAAACUAAAUUUUUAAUUUUUAAUCCAGAAAAUUUUAAGAGAAAUCUAAUACAUGAAUGUUAGCAUUCGUCUAUAUAUCUAUAAGUAUUCAUCUUUGGAAUUUUC
rnacentral:lncRNA from 1 species